CUGUGAAUAAACCCCUAUAAGUGUUUUCUAAAAUGAAGUAUUUGCAUCCUAGUUAAAGGGAUACUCCAGACGCCUAAAGAAUGUCAGCUUGCCGAAGUGCUUUAUGUGUUAAAGGGACUCUCUAGUGCCAGGAAAACAUAUUAGUUUUCCUGGCACUGCAGGACCCUACAGUGCCCCUCUCCCUCCCAAACCCCCAACGUCAGCCGGUGGGGGAGACCUAAUGCGCAUCAAUGGCAGCGCACGCACAUUAGACCUGCCCAUAGGAAAGCAUUAUCCAAUGCUUUCCUAUGGGGAUUCCGGAGACACUGG